rnacentral:rRNA from 1 species
UACAGAGGGUGCGAGCGUUAAUCGGAAUAACUGGGCGUAAAGGGCGCGUAGGUGGUUGCAAGAGUGUGAUGUGAAAGCCCUGGGCUUAACCAGGAAGUGCAUCGCAAACGUUGUAACUGGAGUACGGUAGAGGACAGCGGAAUUUCCGGUGUAGCAGUGAAAUGCGUAGAGAUCGGAAGGAACGUCAAUGGCGAAGGCAGCUGUCUGGACUGAUACUGACACUGAGGCGCGAAAGCGUGGGGAGCAAACAGG